GGGGGAUCCCGCAGGCAGAAAUCUGUGGUGGGCGGGUGGCAGGUGAGCAAGGAGAACGUGUCUCUAAAGGAAGCACAGGGAGCAGGUGGUGGCUUUGUAAGACAGUUGGAACCCAAGGAAGGCAGGCCAUCCCCCAGGAAAGCCUAUGUUGGUGAGGGUUAUGGUGGGAGAACGAGUGAGCUACUGCCUGGCACCACCACACUCUGGAAGGUGCAGUUGGGAGGAAGGUUUCUGAGGCUGUAGACAUGGGGAUCGGAUGCUGGAGAAACCCCCUGCUGCUGCUGAUCGCCCUGGUCCUGUUGGCCAAGCUGGGUCACUUCCAAAGCUGGGAGGGCUUCCAGCAGAAGCCCAUGAGCAAGAAGAACAUGAAUUCAACGCUCGACUUCUUCAUUCAAUCCUACAACAAUGCCAGCAAUGACACCUACUUAUAUCGAGUCCAGAAGCUAAUUCGAAGUCAGAUGCAGCUGACGACGGGAGUGGAGUAUAUAGUCACUGUGAAGAUUGGCCGGACCAAAUGCAAGAGGAAUGACACGAGCAAUUCUUCCUGCCCCCUGCAAAGCAGGAAGCUGAGAAAGCCGCUCAUAUUCCUGGACUCUGCUGAAGAGCAAUCUCCUCCAGGAAGUGCCUUCUGAUUGCCUGGCCCACCUUCUGCCCAAGCUAACACGGAUACCACUGCUCUCUGGCCACACUUCUAUCAAAACAUGCAAGCUGUUCUCCUUCCACUGCUCUUCGGCUCUGCCUCUGGAACCUCACUUUGAAUCCCUUGGGACAACAAAGUCAGACUGGCUGGACUCACAUCUGGCUCCACCAUUGACCAGCUGGGUGGCUGUGGGCAAAUUACUUACAUUCAACGUGCCUCAGUCUUCUCACCUGCAAAAUGGACAUUGCCACAGCCAUCCCAACCUUCAGCAACCACCAGUCUGACCAGUCAGCAACCACCAAAAUCAAGGCAAGACUCUCCACCAGCAAAAGGAUUAUGACUCACUGAAGGC